rnacentral:misc_RNA from 1 species
UACGUAGGGGGCAAGCGUUGUCCGGAUUUAUUGGGCGUAAAGGGCUCGUAGGCGGCUUGGCAAGUCGGAUGUGAAAAUUCCAGGCUCAACCUGGAGACGCCAUUCGAUACUGCUAUAGCUAGAGACCGGUAGGGGAGCACGGAAUUCCUGGUGUAGCGGUGAAAUGCGCAGAUAUCAGGAGGAACACCAGUGGCGAAGGCGGUGCUCUGGGCCGGUACUGACGCUGAUGAGCGAAAGCGUGGGGAGCGAACAGG